GAAAAAAAUGACUAGGUAUCCCCCCUUACCCCCGUCACUGUCCAAUUCUUGUUUUUAAACGAGAGAAGUGUUACACCUGGUGGAGAGAGAUUGUAAGACAGAAAUAGUUGCUUAAUGCGUGCUGUACGUUACGGCAAGACACGUCACGAUGUAACGGAGGGUCAGUUUUUUUCAACUUUUUUCCAAUACUAUAGGGCCAUUACCAUGUCGAUCAACACUUGAAUAGAAACGUAGUUCACACCACAGAUCUUGAAGUCAACAGAUUCGCUACAGUCCCAUUAAUUUUCUUUGCAGCCUCUUUGAAUGUCGCGGUUGCGCACAUUUGUACGGAAGGGGGUGAGUUGAUGUUCCAUGUCAGAUAGUCAAGUACUGUAACGUAAUACAUUUUGUUGACAGAUUUGUUUUUGUAAUGUUUUGUUUGCUCCACCUCAUUUAGCUAGACUGAAAUUGACAUGGUUACUGUUUGCUGAAAAACAAAUGUCCCUGUAUUUGCUGUGUGUGUGUGUUGGCGAAGCAUACAAGAGAGGUAGCUUGUUAAUGCCAACUGAUAUAUUUGGGUUCAGUUGUCUUCAGGAUGAUAUCUAUAUCCCCGAAAAGGAUUUCAUCCUGGAGGAGACUGUGCAGGAGGCAGAGGAGGAAAGAAUGGUUAGUACAGCAUGCCAAACUGACCCCUGGGUGCCAGAGUGUUCCUGUGAUGCGGUGGAAAAGAGGUCCACCGGGACCAUCACUAAAGAAUCACAAUCAUCACAGUGCAAGCCAAGAUAUAUCAAUCACUUCGGGGGAGUGGGCUGGUGUUCCAAAUAUGGAGAAGGAGAAGGCCAUUCAACAGCGAAUUCAAAGAUACACCCAUCCAUAAAGGGAAUCGGAGUGGAAUUGCUUUUCCACUUAUUUUUUUUUACCGUUUCAACAGAUGUGCUACCUUGUCCCGGUCCUGAUGUUUCGACUCUCUCUCUCAACCUAUGA
rnacentral:lncRNA from 13 species